CCUCCCAUCUCUCUCCAUCUGGGAGAUUUAAUGGUUUGUGUUUGAAUUUAGUGGGCACAGGAAGAAACUAAGAGUCAAUCACCCCAGCGGGAGUUCUGAGGAACUCCUUUAAUUGGCCAGGGGUCUUACAGAGGGUGAACCCCAAUAUUACAUUUUGGCGAGUCAGCCAGGAGAGGGGUACACCAGGAGCGGGUACACCAGAAAGAGGGGUACAGCCAGGAAAGGGGUACAGCGGGAGAAGACUUGAAAAUCGUGGGCCGGGCGCAGUGGCUCACGCCUGUAAUCCCAGCACUUUGGGAGGCCGAGGCGGGUGAAUCAUGAGGUCAAGAGAUCGAGACCAGCCUGGUCAACAUGGUGAAACCCCGUCUCUACUAAAAAUACAAAAAAAUUAGCUGGGCAUGGUGGCGCAUGCCUGUAAUCCCAGCUACUUGGGAGGCUGAGGCAGAAUUGCCUGAACCCAGGAGGCGGAGGUUGUGGUGAGCCGAGAUCGCGCCAUUGCACUCCAGCCUGGGUAACAAGAGCGAAACUCCGUCUCAAAAAAAAAAAAAAAAAGAAAAUCGUGAGUAAAACCGGCCCCAUUCUGUCCUGUCUCUUUAAGAACAUCUGAAGCGCAAACCUGAGCAGCCGCACUUCAGAGGCACGGCCCCUCUUAAGCAGCGCAGCCCAGCCAGAAUUAAAAGCACAGGGUUUUACCUCCAAGUUCUCUCUCUGCUUUUCCCCUCCUUCUCUAUCCUUCGGUUGUCAUCUCUGGGACCAAAACCUGUGGGAGCCUGUGGGGUGGAAAGGGUGAGUACCCCCGCUUUCCUCUCCUUGCCAGAGGGAACAUCCCCGCCCUGGGGGCGGAAUCCAACGUCCCACCGAGGUCAGCCAGAGAAAAACAGCGGGGAGGGGUGAGAUACAGCCAGAGCCUGCAGGGGACCAGGGAGCGUGGCGGCUUGGCUCAUGGUUCUGGCAGGCCUCUCGGGCAUUCUCCAGUCCCAGACACUGCUUUCUGACACCAGAGCUACAGUGAUGAAAUGACCAACCCUCCCUCCCCACGUGGAGCCUACAUUCUAGUCUGAAUUCAUCUUGACCAACCACCUGGAGUGAAAGUGAAGUUCUGAGGACUUAGGUGAGGAAAUAACAAAAGAUAUUCAUGACUGAAAUUUAGAGCAGGGAUGGGCAUAAAAACAAAUAGAUGUUAAAAGUUUCAGAGGAAUGAGAAGACCAAGUAGUAAGGUGAAAAGUUUAAGCCUGAGGUCGUGAAAAUGACUUUACAAAACACUGAAAAGCCAGAUUAUCUAAUAUACAAUUUCAAAAUAUCUGUUGAGCAGCACUAUGUAUAAAGACCUUUGCCACUGCAUGAAAACAAACACAACAAUCGACUGUAUGACAGGAGCAAUCACCAGACAUAGGUUGGAGAACUGACAUUCUGUAGAAGCUGGAAACUAGAGAAGAGAUUCCUAGGUAAACAUUUAGCCACAGGGAAACUCAGAAAUCUCAGAUACAGAAUUUGAAAUGAAAAUCUGCUGAUUUUAACGUGCACAAUGGAGAUCUGUGCUAAGAGACAUUAUAGACUCCAUCUCUUUUUUUUUCUCUUCUCUGCCCUUCCCCUCUCUCCUCUUCUCCCUGUGUGUGCAUACACAUGUAUAUUUUUUCUUAUACAGAUAAUUACAUUUAAAUGAGAGUUUUAAUUCCAAAUUCAGAAGCCACACAUUUCUAUUCAGUUUUUUAAGUUGUAAAAUUGGUUGUGCCUAGCUCUACCUGAUCUUGCAGAACUUCAGUGUUCCCAUCUGUGCAGUAGGGAGUUUCUCUUUCUCCUCUACAGAGUAGCUCUAAAAACCAAAUUAAACAAUACACAUUAAAACAAUUUGUAGAUUGCCACCUGCUAAGCAGGUAAUGAUGUCAACAACUUGUAUUUGAACAGCUAGGAACUCUUUAUAAAGCUCUUUCUCAUAUAUCAUGUCCUUUUGUGUUCAAAACCACUCUGCAAGUUAGACCUUAUUGAUCCCAUUGAAAAGCAAUAAAGCAAGGCUCUGAGAAGCUGAGUAUCCCA
rnacentral:lncRNA from 13 species